rnacentral:lncRNA from 1 species
AGCUUCGAAUUAAGAAAUCCAAAGUUUUAUUCUUUACAUUUUCCAAACAAAUGUCUGUCAAAAUAUACUAUCAUUAUUUCAUUCGAACAAAUCAAAUACAAUUUCCUGUUCUCGAAGCAACCCUACAUGUAAAAAUUUCUCGCAUGCGAUAUUUGUAUAUAUCCAUUCUACAAUGGGUAGAAAAAGUACUUUUUCGGUCAAAACAGUAGUACCAACCAUGACAUUUUUACUGUAUAUUUGCCGAAGCCGAGAGUUCAAGACUGCUUUACGGAAAGUAGUUACUUCCUUUCCAUUUCAACUGCAGACCAAGUAGGAUCACUUCGAGGGUGUCUAAAAUCCACCAUUAAAAUCUUGCAACAUAACUCGCUCAUUUAUUAAAAGCGUGAGAUUUUUUGAGACACUCAAAGUUUCCAACUGAGUCUGCCAUCACAGGAGAUUGGAAAUCAUUCAUUGCUUUAGCAAACAAAAACCAAAAGAAGAUUCACGAUAGCAACAAGAGGAAAACUACUGUCCCGUGCCCAAAUCACACCGGUCCUCAGUAUCAGGCCACAUGCUGGCCACGCGGCCUCGUCGUUUUUUUCUAGCUGCCCAAGCUUAGGAAAUUGAUACACAGCACACCCCCCCGGGCGCUUGGGGAAAAAAAAAAAAA